GGUUUAUAAAUCUCUUUUUCCUAGCCAUAUUGCUGCCUAUGUCUACGCGUACCACUUGUUUCCUCGGGGGGCUUGCCCCCCGUUAGGACUCUUUCAUCAACCUUUUUGCAAUAGCAGUCAGCGUCUGAUACUACGUUAAUUAUUAAAACUUUCAACAAUGGAUCUCUUGGUUCUGGCAUCGAUGAAGAACGCAGCGAAAUGCGAUAAGUAGUGUGAAUUGCAGAAUUCAGUGAAUCAUCGAAUCUUUGAACGCACAUUGCGCCCCUUGGUAUUCCAUGGGGCAUGCCUGUUCGAGCGUCAUUUGAACCCUCAAGCUCUGCUUGGUGUUGGGUGUUUGUCCCGCCAUUGCGCGUGGACUCGCCUUAAAGCAAUUGGCAGCCAUGUAAUCCGGCUUUGAGCGCAGCACAUUGCGUACUCUCUACUGGUACAUUGGCAUCCAGAAGCGCAUUUUUUUACUCUUGACCUCGGAUCAGGUAGGGAUACCCGCUGAACUUAAGCAUAUCAAUAAGCGGAGGAAUCCUGGGAUAUGGUUAACACCUUUUCUCUUGGUCUCCCGUGCCAUUGUUUCCGCGGGGGGCUUCCCCCGUUAGGAUCUAUCUCACCUUUUUGCAAUAGCAUCAGCGUGGAUCUACUUAAUUAUUAAAACUAUCAAAUGGUAUCCUGGGUUCGGCCUCAUAAAAAA
rnacentral:rRNA from 1 species